UGGCGGCGUGCUUAACACAUGCAAGUCGAACGGGAUCCAUCAUGCUUUGCUUGGUGGUGAGAGUGGCGAACGGGUGAGUAAUGCGUGACCGACCUGCCCCAUACACCGGAAUAGCUCCUGGAAACGGGUGGUAAUGCCGGAUGCUCCGACUCCUCGCAUGGGGUGUCGGGAAAGAUUUCAUCGGUAUGGGAUGGGGUCGCGUCCUAUCAGGUAGUCGGCGGGGUAACGGCCCACCGAGCCUACGACGGGUAGCCGGCCUGAGAGGGCGACCGGCUACAUUGGGACUGAGAUACGGCCCACACUCCUACGGGAGGCAGCAGUGGGGAAUAUUGCACAGUGGGCGCAAGCCUGAUGCAGCGACGCCGCGUGCGGGAUGACGGCCUUCGGGUUGUAAACCGCUUUUGAUCGGGAGCAAGCCUUCGGGUGAGUGUACCUUUCGAAUAAGCACCGGCUAACUACGUGCCAGCAGCCGCGGUAAUACGUAGGGUGCAAGCGUUAUCCGGAAUUAUUGGGCGUAAAGGGCUCGUAGGCGGUUCGUCGCGUCCGGUGUGAAAGUCCAUCGCUUAACGGCGGAUCUGCGCCGGGUACGGGCGGGUUGGAGUGCGGUAGGGGAGACUGGAAUUCCCGGUGUAACGGUGGAAUGUGUAGAUAUCGGGAAGAACACCAAUGGCGAAGGCAGGUCUCUGGGCCGUUACUGACGCUGAGGAGCGAAAGCGUGGGGAGCGACCAGGAUUAAGAUACCCUGGUAGUCCACGCCGUAAACGGUGGAUGCUGGAUGUGGGGCCCGUUCCACGGGUUCCGUGUCGGAGCUAACGCGUUAAGCAUCCCGCCUGGGGAGUACGGCCGCAAGGCUAAAACUCAAAGAAAUUGACGGGGGCCCGCACAAGCGGCGGAGCAUGCGGAUUAAUUCGAUGCAACGCGAAGAACCUUACCUGGGCUUGACAUGUUCCCGACAGCCGUAGAGAUAUGGCCUCCCUUCGGGGCGGGUUCACAGGUGGUGCAUGGUCGUCGUCAGCUCGUGUCGUGAGAUGUUGGGUUAAGUCCCGCAACGAGCGCAACCCUCGCCCUGUGUUGCCAGCACGUCAUGGUGGGAACUCACGGGGGACCGCCGGGGUCAACUCGGAGGAAGGUGGGGAUGACGUCAGAUCAUCAUGCCCCUUACGUCCAGGGCUUCACGCAUGCUACAAUGGCCGGUACAACGGGAUGCGACACGGCGACGUGGAGCGGAUCCCUGAAAACCGGUCUCAGUUCGGAUUGGAGUCUGCAACCCGACUCCAUGAAGGCGGAGUCGCUAGUAAUCGCGGAUCAGCAACGCCGCGGUGAAUGCGUUCCCGGGCCUUGCACUCAAGGCCCGUC
rnacentral:rRNA from 1 species